rnacentral:rRNA from 1 species
ACACCGGCAGCUCAAGUGGUGGCCAUUUUUAUUGGGCCUAAAGCGUUCGUAGCCGGCUUGAUAAGUCUCUGGUGAAUAAACCCAUAGCUUAACUGUGGGAAUUGCUGGAGAUACUAUUAGGCUUGAGGCCGGGAGAGGUUAGGGGUACUCCCAGGGUAGGGGUGAAAUCCUAUAAUCCUGGGAGGACCACCUGUGGCGAAGGCGCCUAACUGGAACGGACCUGACGGUGAGUAACGAAAGCCAGGGGCGC